rnacentral:lncRNA from 10 species
CUGCCCUGCUCUCCAGCCUCUGUCUUUUCUACUUCUUUCAGAUCAGGGUCUGUGGUGAGCCCUAGGGGAAUAUUUUUUUUUAAGUCCUAGGAUCCAGGAGAGCUGGGUUCUAGUCCUAUCCCUGUCCAGGCAGACUCAGGAAAAUCUCUUUGUGGGCUCCAGUUUCCUCAUUCCUGAGAUGUUAGGGUUAUGUGAGAUGACCUCUGAGGCCCCUUCCAGCUCCAAGAUUCCACCAGGCAUCUAAAUGUCCCUGAAGUUUGGGGAGUCAUUGUUCUUCAGCAUCUCCUCAGGGGCAGCCUGGGCUGAACAAUAGUUUUGUGACUUGAAAAGUAUUGGAAGUGGAGGUUAUCCAUUCAAUCAAGACUUUUAGAUGAUCUGUUGUAUCUUGCAACACCUGCCCUCUUCAUCCAUUUUCUGCUAUUGGUCAUCAAGAGGACGGUGGAAUUCCCAGAUAAGAAGAAGAAAGGCAGAACAAACCUGCAGGUCCCUACUGUGGUGGUCACUGGUGUGGAUGCCAGAUACAUCCAACUCUCUGCCUUCUGUAGGUCAUUUGGACACAGAGUCGUGGACAUAGAGAGGAGAGCAACCUGUGAUGAUGGGAGCAGAGAUUGCAGUGGUGCGCCUGCAACCAAGGAACACCACGGACUGCCCACAACUACCAGAAGCUUGGAAGAGGCAAGGGAGGAUUCUUCCCCAGAGUCUUCAGGUGGUGCACAGUCCUGCUGACACCUUGUUCUUGGACUUCCAGCCUCCAGAACUGUGAGAGAAUGAAUUUCUGUUGUUUUAAGCUGCCCAGUUUGUGGUCAUUUGUCAUGGCGGCCCUACGGAACUAGUACAGCCUGGACAAGCUCUAAGAUCUUCUUCCAGGCAGAGCAAGACCUAUAUCCUCUCCCGCCUUGACUCUGCAGAUAAACACAUGUCCUCAGCCAACCAGAUGGACUCAAGGUGACCUCACAAGUGCCUCCCUCUCCUGCUAAGGCCACCUGCCAGGGUCACUGUGUCACUCAGAUUCCCAACCUCAAAGAACCCCAACCUUUGGAGUCAACUCUCAUCAACCAGACACCAUAAUUUAAUUAGAAAAGGGGAGAUUUAAGAUAGAAAAACAAUACAGGACAUGGGUUUUCUGAGCAUGAAAUAGCUCCUGAACCCAAGAAAAAUUUCAUGUUCCAGUAGAAGGGCAUUGAUGACAAAGCCUGCUUCUGCCGUUUACUUGCUGGGGCUUUGGAUAAGACACUUGAGUGCUGUGAAUAUCAAGCUGGUCAUCUUUAAAAUGGGUCUAUCAUUCCUGCCUGGCCAAUUGCUUAGGGUUGUUUGGGGAACAAUUGAGAGAGACCGUGAGUGAACCAGGUUGAAAUGGAAAUUGCAUAUGAGUCUGAGGCAUUGAUUUUUAUUAGGGAGGCUACAAAACCCAGUUUUUAGUGAGAGAGGGAGAAAGUAUGAGAGGGAGAUGCUACUGGAAUUUAAUACUAGUGAGUUUCUCAGGCAGAGCUCAGGAUGAAGAAAUUUAUUUGCUCAAGGUCAACCAGCAAAAACUGGAAAAGACCUACAACUAGAAUUUGGGGUAUAAAAUUGUAUACUUGCUCCUGUUCUACCUUCUCACUGACCCCUUCCCUCCAACCUGCUCUAUGUAUUUUCUUUUUGAGACAGAGUCUUGCUCUGUCGCCCAGGCUGGAAUGAAGUGGCACAAUCUCGGCUCACUGCAACUGCUGCCUCCCAGGUUCAAGCGAGUCUCCUGCCUCAGCCUCCCAAGUAGCUGGGGUUACAGGCGUGUGCCACCACGCCCGGCUAAUUUUUUUUUUUUUUUUAGUAGAGUUGGGGUUUCACCAUGUUGGCCAGGCUGGUCUCAAACUCCUGGCCUCAAAUGAUCCACCCGCCUCGGCCUCCCAAUGUGCUGGGGUUACAGGCAUAAGUCACUGCGCCUGGCCCAUAUUUUAUUUUCUAAAUUGUUUUUUCUAAUUGAGGAAGCUUUUAUUCCUCCUUCUCCCCUCUCAAUUCCUGUCCCUCUCUCUGUCCUUCCUUUUCCCUCAUCCUCUUUCUCUUCCUCUCAAACCUCAUUUUUCCUUUGAAAAGUUUCAAGUAGAAUGAAUUCAGUGUUCUCAGCCGAGUUCCAGCAUAAAGAGCUCACUAUGCACUUCGACAGAAUUAUCUCCUUUGAAGAAUGCCCACUUUAAUCUCCUCUAAGACAGGUUUUUGUGGUGUUAGAACAAAAUGACAUAAUACUCUUCAAGCUAAAAGGCUUAUUAAGUAGCAUUCAGAAAAUCCUGCAACUUCCUCGUAAUUGGAGGCUUAAUUGGGUGGGUUUAAUAGCAUUUGGUUAUUAGGGCUAAUCAAAUAUUCCAGAAUAAUUGACUCAACUUUUUUUUUUGGGGGGGGCAAUUAUCAUCUCUAAUAUUGUUGUGAUUAAAAAGAUACAUCUUGGCUGAGUG